UGUCCCUUAAAUGUGCUCUGAUCACCGUCCUCAAUGGUGUUCCUAAAUAAGGGCAGCUGCAUUGCGGGGUGGGAUGGGGGGACUGGGAGAACAAAUACAUUAAUCCAUUUUGAGUAUGUUUUAAAAUUGAUUUGCCAAAAUGCCAGAGUUGUUUGUAUAAAUAUGCCUUCUAGAAUAUCUAAAAUAGAAGCCUUUGCUAUUGAUUUGUGAUGUUUCAUAUCAUUUUCUAGAAAUACUUUUAUGCAAGCAGAACACAGGGUGGAAAAUGAACAAAGUGUGAAAAACAGAUCUGUGAACAUUUUAUUAUUAAGCAUUUAAUAAAUGCAGGAUUCUGGUUUGGAGGUGGGGGAGGAAGGAAGUGGGUAGCAGUUGUGUUUGGGUGUGUUUUUUGGCAAGCCUCUCACCUGAUCUGAUAACUGUAAAUAGCUUUGAGAUUUGACAAGUGCAUUUUUAAAAGCUAAGACGAGUGGAUGGUGAGAUCUGUGUUUAAGAUCUGAAUGGUCUGUAAGUUUGGGCCAAAUUAUUUUAUCUGUAUAACUGGGAGGUUGGAAACCAUAUUUGAUGAUCUCAAAGGCAAACGUUGUAGCUGAAAUAAAAAUGAAAGAAAUGGAAAUCAAAACUUACAUCCUCCCUAUUUUUUGCUGUUACGUAAUAUAGGCUUUAAAGCUAAACGGCUGGAAAGCUGCCCUCCAAGGAAUGAAGGCAGUUUAAUUAGCCUCCCAGAUGGAUAUUGCAGGACUGGAGGCAGGGGCAGAGCACAGGAGUGACUCCUGGGCCCAGCACUGUGCACAUCUCUGUGUUCAAGGGACAAACUGCAGCAAGGUGUCAGGUUUUUCAGAGUGAACGGUUUAUUUUCCCAUAAUUGAUAGAUGAUACAGCCCUUUCCUUAAGAAAACUUUUAUAGGGGUGCCUGGGUGGCUCAGUCGUUAAGCAUCUGCCUUCGGCUCAGGUCAUGAUCCCAGGGUCCUGGGAUCGAGCCCUACAUCGGGCUCCCUGCUCCGCAGAGAGCCUGCUUCUCCCUCUCCCUCCGCCUGCCGCUCUGCCUACUUGUGCUCUCUCUCAAUCUCUCUGUCAAAGAAAUAAAUAAAAUCUUAAAAAAAAAAAAGGAAAGAAAGCUUUUAUAGAGUUUAUUGUUAUGCAUAGCACUAUUCUAGAGAAAAAAUAUUUAAAUUAUUAAGUCUUCUAGAACUUAAGGAUCUGCCUAACAGGUUUCUCAAGCCCUGGAGAUAGAGCUAGAACGUCAGAAUUUAACCUCUCUCAAACAGGUCAUUCUUGGGUAAAGAGGGGAAGAACAGUGCUGUAUAAAUUGCUGCUGUGUCAUAGGACUGAAUUGGGAGGGUUCCAGAAGCACUGUAGGAGGAAAUACAGAUUUUCCUCUGACAGCUUAGUGAGAACUAGAGGUGAGGUUGAGCCGUCUGAGCACUGGAUGAAGAGACUCAAGAAAUAUACAGUGGAGGAAAACAUUUUUAACUGAUGAUUUAGAGUACAUACAGCAGUAAUUCCUUAAAUUAAAUCCACUUUCUAAAAAUAUGCCCACAUCAGGUAUUCCAGAGUUGAAAAUAAGCCCUACAUUUUACUACUUGUUACGUGGUAUUUACAUUAGAUUUUUGUGACUUUUUUUCCUGUAUUUACAUAAACCCAUCAGUAAUACCAUUAUAACCUAUCCUUUGUCAAGCUUUUCAUUUCAUCUUAGCUGUUAUUUUCUUUUAAUUGGCAUUUAUAUUCCAUUGAUGAGUAAAACCUAGGACGGCAAUCAUGGAGUUUUGUGACAGAACAAACUGAGGAGGUCAUGGAUCCCAGUUGGGCCUCUCAUUUCAGCCAAAUGUCCCAAGACCUGGAGCUGUUUGCCUUUGGUCACACAGUUGGCAGAGUCUUGAUUAUUAGUCUUUAUUUACCCUUCUGCUUAUCUACAUAUUUGGGUCUGUAAGGAAUUUAAAAAAUAAAUAAGUAGUCAUGGAUAGUUGUGUUUAUUUUAUCCUGUGUGAAUUCACAGCUGCCUUGGCAAGUUCUAGGCUAAUACAAAUAAAAUUAACUGUCACUUAAAGGAGACAAAGAGAAGUCUUGAAAGAAGGGAGAUAACAAGGAAGUGAAAGGGGGAGAGUCACUAUAACUUUAAAAUUACCAGAAGAAGGAAAAUAAAUAAAUGACGAUUUGAAAACUGUGAAACAGAGUUUAAAAUCUAGAAAAAGUUUAGACUUGUUCAUAGUUAUUACAUUUGUAGCUGAAAUGGAAAUCAAAACUUACAUCCUCCCUAUUUUUUGCUGUUACGUAAUAUAGGCUUUAAAGCUAAACAGGGGAGGAAAGCUGCCCUCCAAGGGUAAGCACAGUUUGUAUACGUUUUUAGGGGAGGGACCACCUUUCAGGCUUACAGUACAAAUGUCUCGCAGCACUAAACUCUUGUUAAAUCUCUGGGUGGAGAAUUAAGCCAUGUAUAAACAUUUGCAAGCACUCCCAUUUAGAAUUGUAACCUUUUAUUGUGGCUUUAAUUCCCCAAGGAGAGACUUGGCAUUACUUGUAGUUAUCUCAAACAAAACUUAGUGUUUAUUUUCGGGAAAAUGAUUGUAGAUCCCUGAUUAGAAGUGUUUUUGAACAGUGGUGUGUUUUAGAUUGAAAGUACAGGACUUUGGGACACCUGGGUGGCUCAGUCGUUAGGCGUCUGCCUUCGGCUCAGGUCAUGAUCCCAGGGUCCUGGGAUCGAACCCCGCAUUAGGCUCCCUGCUCCGCGGGAAGCCGGCUUCUCCCUCUCCCGCUCCCCCAACUUGUGUUCCCUCUUCGCUGUGUCUCUCUCUGUCAAAUAAAUAAAAAUGAAAUCUUUAAAAAAAAAAAAAAAAAGUACAGGACUUUAUGGCAAGCCUUUUGGCUUUUACUUAGUAAAUGAGGUGCUAUCUAAAAUCACAGUCAGGGGGACGCCUGGGUGGCUCAGUCGGUUAAGCGUCUGCGUUCCACUCAGGUCAUGAUCCCAGGGUCCUGGGAUCAAGGCCGGCAUUAGGCUUCUUGCUCAAAAGGGUGUCUGCUUCUCCUUUUGCCUGCCGCUCCCCCUGCUUGUGCUCUCGCUCUCUCUGUCAAAUAAAUAAAUGCAAUCUUUAAAAAAAAUAAAAUCACAAUCAGUGGUGAAGGCUCAAAUAAAAUUUCAGUUAGUAGAAGAGAAACAGCUUUGGGGCGUCUGGAUGGCUCAGUCAUUAAGUGUCUGCCUUCGGCUCAGGUCAUGAUCCCAGGGUCCUGAGACUGAUCCCGCAUCAGGCUCCCUGCUUGGCAGGGAGUCUGCUUCUCCCUCUCCCACUCCCCCUGUUCGUGUUCCCUCUUUUGCUGUGUUUCUCUCUGUCAAAUAAAUAAAUUCUUUAAAAAUAAAAAUAAAAAAGAUUUAAAAAAUUUUUUUAAAAAAGCUUAGUUUGUGUUAGUUACUCAGCAUUGUAAAUCUGUGCCCUUCGUAGCAAAUGUAAAAUUCUUGGGUGCCUUUCUACCCUCUGAGAUGGAGGGCAUAUGUCGUCUUCAUUGAAGCCCCCGUUUCCCCAAGCUACCUUAAGUCCCUGAGCUCCAGCUUGAGAAUCCCCAACCACACAAUGCCCGAUGUGGCUUUUCCUCGUGAUGCGGUAGAUGUCCAAGCUGGACUCGUUCCCACUGCCCCCCGCCCCCCAGCAAGCUGUCUGAGACACUUCUAACUCCUUUGUUAACAUGUCAGACGUGGGAGUCCCACGCAGGCACCUGCUGUCUCCCGACGUGUAACCGUUUUGGUGUGUCUGCUCUCCUCCUGCUUCUGGCUUCUUGUGUCCCCUCAGCUGAGAGGAUCGAAUUGCUUGGUUUGUUACAGUCCAAAAGGGAGCAUCCCUGUUGAUCGGCCUGGGUGUUGUGCACUGAUCUCAGUGGUACCUGCAGGGGAAACAGGGUCAGUAUUGUACAGGACACGAGGCUUUGAACUUUAAGAACUGCUGGCCCCUUUCCUCAGGAGGAGGCACUUUGAGCUGUCAGCCUGCAUGUUAUGCAUAGUUCUACUCAAACCCCCCAACACCAGUGUAUUUCGUUCCUCUGGUCUCUACCCCCAAGAAACUCCCUCUUCUUUUAGACCUAAGGCCACCUCCGUUUGACAGUCUCCAUCUCCUUCUUAAGGACUCUACGCAAGAAUCAAUUCUCCUGUGAAGCCAGAAGCACACGGAGUCAGGACCCAAGCUCUACGGAGCAGUGAUGAUUUCUUAAAAACAAUGAAGCGUGGAUCACUACGUCAAAAACUAAUGAUGUAUGGUGACUGACAUAACAUAAUAAAAUAAAAUUUAAAAAAGUUUUAUUUAUUGACAGAGAUACAGUGAGAGCAGGAACACAAGCAGGGGGAGUGGGAGAGGGAGAAGCAGGCUUCCUGCAGAGCAGGGAGCCCGAUGCGGGGUUUGAUCCCAGGACCCUGAGAUCAUGACCCAAGCCGAAGGCAGACGCUUAAUGACUGAGCCACCCAGGCACCCCUACGGAGAAGUGAUUCUUAAGCCUCUUUUGCCUUCCCACUAUUCCCAAGGAACAUGACACAUUGCUUUCCACUCAGGUGUUCCGCUGGGUGUGGCCUCAGCAUCCUGUCCCUCGCGCACACAUCACUGACAUAGAAGAUGGCUGUGAUUUUAGUGUUUCUUCCCUCUGUUAAUAUGGCUCCAUCACAUGUAUCGUGAGCACUAGGGUAGAAAAAAGCAAAUGCCAAAAGAAAAAGAGAAAGCAAAUGCCUGGCCCACGGUUUUACUUUAAACAAAAUCACAGAUUACAAAUAAGAUUUUUUUUUGAGUACUUGUUUAUGUUUAUUACGUUGCAGUUAGAACUGUCUUUUGUGAAUAGAGUGAGAGAACAGUCUCAUUCAGAACAUUUAAAAUGCAAUUUUAAAACCAUGAUUGCUAUCUGACUGGAUAGAUGGAUCUGGAUUGGCAUAGAUCCAAAACUCCCUCUUUCUUCCCCUUUGCAUUUCUUAUUUUAAAUUGUAAUUUCAGAACUACUUCAAAAUAUGGAAAGUAAAAUCACAUAAAUAAUAUCUAUAUACCUCACAAAUAUUGACCUUUUAUUAUUGGUCAAGAAAAUACUAGGGGUGCCUAGGUGGUUCAAUCUGUUAAACCCCCACAUCAGGCCCCCUGCUCAGUGGGGAGUCUGCUUCUCCCUCUGCCCCUCUCCCUACGCUUUCUCUCUCUCUCUCAUAAAUAAAUAAAAUCUUAAAAAAAGGAAAUAUUAUAAAAAUGCAUGUGAUGAGUACUGGGUGUUAUAUGCAACUGGUAAAUUAUUGAACACUAAAUCAGAAAUUAAUGAUGAACUAUAUGUUGGCUAAUUGAAUUUAAUUUAAAAAAAUAUAAAAAUGCAUCUGAAGUACAGCCCCUUCCCAGAUACAACUUUCUUCUGAAGUUCAUGUGUUUCUUCUCUGGAUAUGUUUUUAUACUUUCAAUACAUGUGUAUGUAUACAUGACAAUAUAUAGUAUAUUCUGAGAAAUUUUUUAAAUUUAUGUUAAUGGUUUACUGUUUAUACUCUUUCGAUAGCUUUCUUUUAGUCAGUAUUAUAUUUUGAGAUGAAUCCAUGUUGAAUCAUAGAGAUUUAGUUAAUUUAAUUUCUGUAUUACUUCAGUGUUAGAAUUUAUUAUACCAUUUUAUGCAGCUUUCUUUGCAUGGACGUACAGGUUUCCCGUUCAUAGUGUUGUAUGGAGUACUCUUGGUCUCCUUGUGCAAAUGUGAUUCCUUUUUUUUAAACUAGAUAUACAUCUAGGACUCUAACGACUGAAUCUCAUAGUCUCUUGUCUUUUAGUGGGGAAAUGUAACCCAUUUUCAUUUAGCAUAGUGAUUAUUUUGGAAUAAUUUCUAUCACCUUUUUUUGGUGUGUAGGUGUGUUUUCUUUUUUCACUCCUCUUUUCUAUUGAAUUUUUUUUUUUUCAUUUUACUGAUUGAAUAGUCAUUCAUUCUAAUUCUGUAUUAUAGUGUUGACCGUAAGUUUUUAAUAUGCCUCCUCAACUUCAUAAAGUCUACAGUGAAUUCUUAUUUCCACCCUCCUGAGUCACACAGGACCUUGGAAGUUUGCGUGCUGAUCCCCCUUUCCUGUAUGUCUCCAUCAUGUUCCGUCAUCCCAGCGUUUGCUAACAUCCUACACUGUCAUCAUCUUUAUUCAGGCCUUGCUCUUUGCUGUGCUCACUCUUGAUCUGUGAAAUCCAUUUUUCCCUUUGAGGCUCCGUUUCCUUCUCUUGGAGUAGUUCGCUGUGAAGGCUCAACUCUUGAGCAUCAUUUUGUUGGUCUUUAAGCUUGAAUAGUAUUUAAGUGGGGCAAAGAAUUCUGGAUUAUUUUUCUUCAGCACUUUGAAGAUUCAUUCCAGAGAAGUCACUGCAGUCCUGUUUUUGUUCAUUCGUAGGCAAUCAUUUUUGUUCUGGAUAAUUUUUAA